rnacentral:rRNA from 1 species
AUUGAACGCUGGCGGCAGGCUUAACACAUGCAAGUCGAGCGGGGUGAUGGUGCUUGCACUAUCACUUAGCGGCGGACGGGUGAGUAAUGCUUAGGAAUCUGCCUAUUAGUGGGGGACAACAUCUCGAAAGGGAUGCUAAUACCGCAUACGUCCUACGGGAGAAAGCAGGGGAUCACUUGUGACCUUGCGCUAAUAGAUGAGCCUAAGUCGGAUUAGCUAGUUGGUGGGGUAAAGGCCUACCAAGGCGACGAUCUGUAGCGGGUCUGAGAGGAUGAUCCGCCACGCGGGGACUGAGAAACGGACCAGAAUCCUACGGGAGGCAGCAGUGGGGAAUAUUGGACAAUGGGGGGAACCCUGAUCCAGCCAUGCCGCGUGUGUGAAGAAGGCCUUAUGGUUGUAAAGCACUUUAAGCGAGGAGGAGGCUCUUUUGGUUAAUACCCAAGAUGAGUGGACGUUACUCGCAGAAUAAGCACCGGCUAACUCUGUGCCAGCCGCCGCGGUAA